AAGGAGUGCUAACUCAACAAGUAUUUACUUUAAGGUUCAUUAAAUUAUGAACUUUUAGUUUUUAUUAACUGAAGUUUGCACAGAACAUUGAAAAUCGAAUAACAGUAUAUAUUUC
rnacentral:misc_RNA from 1 species